CCUACGGGAGGCAGCAGUGAGGAAUAUUGGUCAAUGGGCGCUAGCCUGAACCAGCCAAGUAGCGUGAAGGAUGACUGCCCUAUGGGUUGUAAACUUCUUUUAUAUGGGAAUAAAGUGCAGUAUGUAUACUGCUUUGCAUGUACCUUAUGAAUAAGGAUCGGCUAACUCCGUGCCAGCAGCCGCGGUAAUACGGAGGAUUCGAGCGUUAUCCGGAUUUAUUGGGUUUAAAGGGAGCGUAGGCGGGUUGUUAAGUCAGUUGUGAAAGUUUGCGGCUCAACCGUAAAAUUGCAGUUGAUACUGGCAGCCUUGAGUACAGUAGAGGUAGGCGGAAUGCGUGGUGUAGCGGUGAAAUGCUUAGAUAUCACGAAGAACUCCGAUUGCGAAGGCAGCCUGCUGGACUGUAACUGACGCUGAUGCUCGAAAGUGUGGGUAUCAAACAGGAUUAGAUACCCGAGUAGUC
rnacentral:rRNA from 1 species